GGUGACCCUGCGGAAGGAUCAUUA
rnacentral:rRNA from 1 species